CGAAGGUCCCAAGCGUUAUCCGGAUUUAUUGGGUUUAAAGGGUGCGUAGGCGGGUUGUUAAGUCAGUGGUGAAAGCUCCGAGCCUAACUCGGAAAUUGCCAUUGAUACUGACGAUCUUGAGUACAUUUGAGGAGGGCGGAAUGUGUCAUGUAGCGGUGAAAUGCUUAGAUAUGACACAGAACACCGAUUGCGUAGGCAGCUCUCUAAACUGUAACUGACGCUGAGGCACGAAAGCGUGGGGAGCAAACAGGAUUAGAUACCCUGGUAGUCCACGCCUUAAACGAUGAUCACUCGAUGUGUGCGAUAUACUGUACGCGUCUGAGCGAAAGCAUUAAGUGAUCCACCUGGGGAGUACGGUCGCAAGACUG
rnacentral:rRNA from 1 species